rnacentral:lncRNA from 1 species
UCAGAGCCUAACAUUCGACGGAGGAGCAAGGAUAUUUCUUAAGUUUUUGUGUCUUAAUGCUUCAGUGAACAUGGAAAUGUAUAUAUGUCUUCAGCUCUUGAUAGUAUAUAUCAUAGGAAGUGGGUUGCUGGAUCAUAUAUACUCUGCUUUUUUAUUAUUAUUAUUUUUGCGGAACCUCCAUGCUGUUUUUCACAAGGAAUGCUCCAUUUUUCAUUUCUCCCAAAGCUCAAGAGCUCUACUUUGUCCUCCUCUCCUCCACAUCCUCUCCAGCUCCUGAACUAACAACACCUGUCCUAGUAGAUAGAAGAUGGUACUCAUUGUUGUUAGGAGUCACCUAACAUAAUAAUUGCAUCUAGCAUGUUAAUGUUUCCAAAACAUUCCCACAUAAUUCUGUCAAUAAGAUAUAGAAGCCUACAGUAGAAAUGUAAUCUUUAGAAACUAGUGUUGAAAGAAGUUAAAUAUCACAGAAAAAGUCUAUUAUAGUAUCAGUAUAUAGAAAGUUAAUACUGCUACAUAAAUUCUACAUUUCUUACAUUCUGCACUUUUAAUGUAGGACAUUUUAAAUUAUAUUAAUGGCAUUUCAAGUUCAUAUUUCUGCUUUUUAAUGCUAUAGGUAUUUAAGACAACUAGUUGGGGAAUCUG